AACGUUUAAGACUAAGACGUUGAUAGGCUGGGUGUGUAAGCGUAGUGAUACGUUGAGCUAACCAGUACUAAUGAACCGUGAGGCUUAACCUG
rnacentral:rRNA from 1 species